rnacentral:tRNA from 1 species
GUAUAGCUCAGUUGGUUAGAGCGCGGGAUUCAUAACCCCGAGGUCGGUGGUUCAACUCCACCUAUUG